rnacentral:lncRNA from 1 species
UUGUUUGUUUGUUUUUCGGGUUUUGUUUAGUUUUUUCUUGGAGAUUAUCGGCCUCUUGUUCGAGAUACUCAUGGAAACGUUCUCGAUCAGGUAAAUAAAAUGAUGUAAGUGCUUUUAUUUAGUUUUAGUCCUGAGUGUUGUUCUUUUCCGGUAUUGUUCUUGCAAAAACUGAGUAUCUUUCUUUUACAGGAAACUCAGUUGCCUCCUCAUCAAAGGAAUCUUCAAGAUCUCUUGUGCGAUGCAAGUAAGCUGGUGACUUCGCACCUCGUCCAACUUAUUUUUCUGUUUCAUUUUCAGGCUUGAUUCCCUAUCCAGAACCUUAUCAAAGCUCGUACCAGCAACGUCGUCUGGGACUCCUAGGUUGCUACUGGCAACCACCAUCAGUUCAGCUCGCAGUGGGAACGUUUGAUGAUCCAGUGUUCAUUCCUCAAGAUCAGCCUCAAGCAGUAGUUGCCGCUCUACAAGCAAUCGAGCAAACAAACGAGCAAGGCAACAGAUGGGUAGAACAACCGGCGGAUGGUGAGGCAAUGGACUGGGAUGAAGAAGUCACUGGAUUGAGUGACGAUUCUGGUUCUGAUUACUGCGCGAGCGAAGAAAGCUCGAGUGACGAGGAUGGAAAUGAAGAAAGUGGUACGAUCUGUGAAUCGGAAACAACCGACAAAGAAAUUGACGAAAUUGAUUCUGAUGGGGUUCGUAACCGAAGAAGAAGGAAAAAGAAGAGAGAGGUACGUACGUCCAGCUUUUGCGUCUCUGAUAACUUCAAUGGUGAUUGUCCACUACAGAUACUCGCAACCUUGGUGAGGAAGCAAAAGCGCAGGCGCUUGGAGGAGUCAAACAAUGCUCUUGUGAUGCCUGAGGAAACGCAGAGGUUGAGGUCUAGAAAGCGGAUAAGAAAGUCAAACCCGGACCAUGCAUUGAGGCCUAUGAGGAUGGCAGCUCGGAAUGCCUUGACCAUGUUUUCGAGCUUACAUGAGUACGAAGACGACGAAGCACGCCGCCUGGCCGCUGAGGAUGCCAAAAGACCUGGUACAUCUGGAGAGAACGAGAACCAGAGGCUUCUACGCAACGGGAAAGUUCUUACAGAAACUCAGGAACCUGAAGACGAUGAACCUCCGAAGAAGAGUCCCGCAGAGACUUCGGACGUGGGUGAAUGCAGGCGGCCAAGGUCUCAGCGAAAGUUAGUACUCAAGUUGAGAAACUGUGCACAAACGUCCAACAACGAGGAUACUUUUCGGAGCCUCGAAAUACCAGAACAAGGCACUUCUAAGGUCCCCGUGGCCGAGGCUAAUGACAGUCAUCCAGAAACAGAUGGUUUUAUCGCGGACGAGAAUCCCACUGAAGCUGUUUCGUCUGACGACAAACAGGGAUACAUAUGGAAGAAGGGGAAAGCAGCCAAGCGUGCUCGCAUGCCUUAUCACAGCAGCAGCAGCAGCUCCGAAGAGGAUAAACUGGUAGACGUUCCUUGCGAUAUCAAGAAAGGCUUUGAAGCGACUCGUGUAGAAAAUGGAGACACAAAGGUGGUGGCAAGGGCGAUCAUUAGCGAGUCCGAGUCGGAGAGGUCUCUUUCAGCUGACUACCUUGACGAACAGCAGAGACGAGAGCAGAAUCACACUCUUAUGAGCAAUGAGUCCUUACAGAAUGGAGAAGCUCCAGAUGGUGACAAUGACCCUGAUUACCACGAAGAGGUUUCACCAGGCAGUAACAGUGAGUCGCUGGAGGAUGCUUACAAGCCCGAGGAAGAGCAGGCAAGUGAGGACCUGGACGUGGACGAUAUACAAAUGAAGCGCAAUAUGAACAAGGCCGUCUACUCAAGGAGAAGGCCUCGCAAAGUUGCGACUCGGACCGAGUGUUAUGAGGCCGACGAGCACGCUUCAGGUGGCCGCAGGAGAAGUACACGGCUGGCGCAGGGUCGCGUGGUUAGUCUCUCCAACAGCAGGUCCACAAGAAGCAGGAGAAACGUCGGCCGUCCCUCACACUGGGAAGCUAGCUCGUCUUACGACGACUCGGACUGGGAUCGAAGCAGCGACGACAAUGGACGCCGAAAGCCCGAAAGAAGAACUUCGAGCAGACUUAAAGUGAAGCUGCAGAAGAACGUGGGGUCGAGGUACAAGGAUUUCCACGUGAGGAGAAACUUGAGCACGGUGCAUCGGAGUCCGAGCAACGUGUCCUGGUUACUCUUGACAGAGGUGGAGCGGACGCGCUACAUCCCACAGUAUGGUGAUGAGGUGGUGUACUUCCGACAGGUAAGAGAUCCAGUCUUGAAUUAUGUUUGAAUUGAAACUGUCGAUCGCAGGGACAUCAAGACUACUUAGACAACAAGCGGCUCGACGACGAUGGUCCCUGGAGAAGCGUGAAAAGGGAACUGCAAGCGGUCGAGUUCUGCGAGAUCACCGGACUGGAGUACAUCAUUCUCGAAGUGUCGGGGAACACUUGUUGCCGGCUGACUCUCGAGUUCAUGGACGGGUACAGGAUUCGCGGCAGCAGCUUCAGCGUCGACUUGCCGGAGCUGACAGACUUCGCCGACUUUAUAGUGGAGAAAAGCCGCUACGAGGCCUCCAUGGCUAGGAAGUGGUCCAGUCGGGACAAGUGCCAAGUGUGGUGGAGGUCGGACGAGGAAGAAGGUGGUCGCUGGUGGGAAGGGACGAUAACUCAGGUGAAGGCAAAGUCGCCCGAGUUUCCAAACAGCCCCUGGGACAGCAUCAGUGUGCUGUACAAGGACGAGCCAUCGACGACGAACCACUGCCCCUGGGAGCUUCACGACGUUGAGAAUCCUUUAACUUGGGAGUCGCCACAGAUCGAGCAGGACAAGGUGCGUGAGCUGCUCGACAUCGUGGACGAGGUGCUCCACUCGAACCAAUCCAAGGUUUGUUUUUGCGCGAUCGAUCAUAGACGUGAGGAAGGUUUUGCUUUUGCUUUUGGCUUGACGAGCUUUUGCUUUUCGCAGGACGAGUAUGGCUUGUGGAGGUUGCAGCAGGCCGUGAGCAAGCCGGAUUUUCUUGACAGGCAAGUUGGAAAAAUCUCUUGCGAUUGAGAAAGAAGCUAAAGGUUUUCAAUCAAUGCAGGAUUGCGCUACCAAUCUCCAUGGACGUGAUUCGCGAGCGGCUGGAGAACAACUAUUAUCGUAGCGUGAUGGCGGUGUCACACGAUCUUAGGAUACUGAUCGACAACUUCCGGACAUAUUUUGGGAAACAGCAUUCGUCGGUGCUCAAGGUGGAGCGGCUGAGAGAACGCUUCUCUGAGGCACUGCAAAUGUGAGCUUUGUAAAAAUUUCCUCGAGGUCUUAGUUAACGAAGAAUAGAAACAUUUUCCUUACACAUCCAUCUACAUUGUCAAACACGAGAUUAUUCCGAGGAUCACUCUCAUACCUGGAAAACCAUGAGGAAGAAGGAAGUCGAGGAGAUGGGGCGCCAUUCUUCUCCUCUUCCUCCUCCUCUUGUCAUCGAGGCCGCGUGGAAAUCGCGAGAAUCCACUGACAAGGAACUCGAGUUCCCGCCAGACCACUGUACGAACGGCGGCCCACCAAGAAAGUGGCCAGUGGCCCAUUGUACGUAACAUUGCCUUUAUUCCAAAAAAGGGAUCGCUAGCAUAGGGUUCUUGCGAAGAUAGGGCGGGUGGCUCGAAAUUCUGGUAAGCGUCAUUCCGUCUUGCAAAGCUGCUGCAAACCCCGAUUUCUCGCAGCUGCAAAGCCUUGUUGCGGACCUGGCGAUGGAAUUUCUGAUUGCGAUGGUGCUUGUUAGCACCAUUGCGAUCAGUGUGCUGUGCAUCGUGACCACAGCUUGUGUGCUGGUGCUGGCAUCUGCCAUGCGUGCAGGAAUGGGAGCCGUGACUGAGAAUCUCCAGGUGAUGGCCUCUGGCAUUCAUGCGGCAGUGAGGGCGGACGUGCAAGGGAUCCAUGGUGCAGUGAGGGAGGAUGUGCCAGCAAUCCGUGGAGCCAUAAAGGAAGACGUUGUUGCUGUGGUUGGAGCAGGAAUGGGAUCCAUCCGUGCAGCAGUGAGGGAGGUCCAUGGUGCCUUGAAGGAGGACUUUGUUGCUGUGGUUGGAGCACUGAAUGUUGCGGCUAUGCGUGCUGCAAUCAAGGAGGACCUCCAGGCACUUCACGACACAGUGAAGGAGGAUGUUAUAGCAGCCCACAACCAAGUCAUGAUCGACUGUUCCACAUCCCUCUAUCAGGUAAGCAUUUGUUAGAUCUAGAUUUUGUGCGGCCUUUAAAAUACUGGAUCAGGGUUUGGAUGGCUUGAUCCAGUCGUGUGCAAAGAGCACAGUGGUGGGUAAGUGGCGCUGCUGCUGGUUCAAUGAUCAGUAGUUGAUUCAUAGAAACGACAAAGCUGUUCUUUUUUUUUCUCAGGAAAAAUUUUUCUGAUUCGGAUCUUCGUUCUUCGAAAUAAAAAGGCUCAUAUGUCGUGAGCUUCUGAUAGUAAGUCUUUUUCCGGGCAAGAACAUACACAUGAACGUGGUCUGGCAUUGUCUAAUUGGUACUUCCUUGUAGGUGGAUGAGUGUAACUAUUUAUUCAGGAGACUAUUUAUUCAGGAGGUCCUUUGGAGCUGCGGAUAUCGCAUAUAGUCACUCGGUUCAAAUGCUUUGUAUGGUAACGGAACAUUCAAUCGAAGCUUUCAAGUUUUCUGUCUUCAAGUAGACUCGGGUGCAAUCUUCAUGCAGCUUAGCUAACCUCUCGUGCAGACUGACUAACAUUCGUGGCUUUACGGUCUGAUGUUGGAGUUGAUCAUCACCUGCAUGAACAAGACGAGGAGAUCGAGUUGGGGAAGUUAUCAUGCACUUCCUGAGGAGAGGCCCUUACGAGAGAGCCACUGACUAGCUCUGGAACGAGCUCCUACAGCACAAGCUCUUGCCCCGGAGGUACCAUCAGGAAUGGAACGCCCCCCGCCGACGAGAAUGACGAUGGUUUGUCGUUCCCACUCAGCUACGCGCAAGUUGCCGAGAGGUAUUGUGUGUCGCCAAGUUCUUUGUUUUCGGUUUGUCUUGCUGACAAAAGGAUGGAUUUUUUUUUUUCGAUUUUCAGAUAUAAGAACGUUGACAACAACCACUUGGUUAAGCUCUUGCAGCAACUACUUGUUCACGACAAGUCCGCGUCCUUGCUUUAUGCGAAAGUUCCCAAGCAAUUGACCGCCGCGGACGUUCCUACGCUUUUGGGGUCAGGAGCAUUCUCGCUUUUGGAAUGUAAGCCGUGUGCUUUUCGAAUCUUGCCGUUGCUGAUCCGAGCAAACUUCAUACAGCGGAGCAAAGCAAUGCUACUAGUAUCUCUACCAAGAGAAUAGAACAAAUGCGAUGGCCGCAUUGGCAAGCUGACCAAGUUCAUGCUCUCGCGUUCCGUGAACUUGGUGGUGGAUUUGCAAAGCAUCACAGACCGCCAUCCACACGGACUGUGAAACAUGUUAUCAUCAAGCCUUCUGUACUGGUGAACAGAAUAAGAAUCAUCCAGGUGCUAAGGGGUCAUCGUAAUGCGGUAUAUUGUGGUACGUGUUUCUUUUCUUUUUGAUUUUCAAGACCUAUUAACGAAGCGAUAAACGUGCAGCCGUUUUUGAUCGUACUGGACGGUAUCUUGUCACUGGCUCGGACGACCGGCUUGUGAAGAUAUGGUCCGUAGAAAAUAGACUUUGCCUUCGUAGCUGUAGAGGACACGAGGUACUAUUUUCUGCAUCCGUUUCGAAUAUUGUGCUUAAAACCUGGCUUUUAGGGGGAUAUAACCGAUUUGUCUGUAAGUAGUUCGAACACUCUAGUUGCAUCAGCUUCUAACGAUUCCUCCAUCCGUGUUGUAAGUAUUCCUUUGUUGUGUUUUUGUUUCUUCUUUUGAUUUAUUUCGCUUCUGCCUAUAGUGGGGAUUACCAGAUGGUGUUCCGGUUGCAAUACUUCGUGGCCACACGGCGGGCGUAACGGCCAUCAAAUUUAGUCCUCGACCGGGCUGUGAGCACCAUCUUCUAUCGUAAGUGUUAAUAAUUUGGUUUUUCCACUAUACUUGUAUUAAAAUCUCGUGGUUUCAAGUUCGUCUGAAGACGGAACAUGCCGUAUUUGGGAUGCUCGGGAUUCUUCUGUCAAUUCACGUGUCUACAUGCCGAAGCCGGAUGUCGAACCCGAAUGUAAAGAGUCUGCCGGUGUUUUUUUGGUCUUCUAAAAGCUUGUUUCCAGCUGCAGGAGCUGAGAAUCGAGCACAGGCUACAAAUCAGAUUCAGUGCUGUGCGUUUAAUGCAGAUGGCUCAUACUUUGUCACUGGGAGUUCGGACAAGCUUGCCAGGGUAAGCAUUUAAAGUGGACUUUUUAUAUUUCUGACAAUUGUUGGAACAGGUUUGGGACGCAAGAAAGUGGGCGGACGAGUACACUGGAAGGCCAAAUCAUGAGCAUGACAUUCUUAGUGGACACGAGAAUGUAGUUAACUACGUGCAGUUCAGGUUCGCCUCUUUGGCUUGGUCCUCGUUGACAUCAAUCGUCCUUUGUUCCAGUGGUUGUGCAGAGCCAAUCAAAGUUUCUCCCGUCGACUUUUUGAAGGAUGACAACGUCCCUGACAACAUACCGAAGUUCAAAACAACCUGGUAUACUGUGCCGCUCAUUGCUAUCUGGUUUUAACGUUGGUUUUGUUCAGGUUUCCUCAAGAUAGCAUAGUUACUUGCUCAAGAGACGGCACUGCUAUUAUCUGGUCUCCUCGUCCUAGGAAACAGGUGUGCAUGGCCUUUCUUUCUGUGUAACUAAUGCCAUGACUGCUCCUCUUUCCUCCAGCUGAAGCUAGGUCGAUGGGUGAAAGCUUAUCAUUUGAAAGUACCGCCCCCUCCGAUGCCACAGCCUCCCCUUCGAACUGGUGGACCUCGACAAAAACUGCUUCCGACUCCUCGAGGUGUUAAUAUGAUAGUCUGGAGUUUGGACAAUCGUUUUGUACUCGCCGCGAUUAUGGGUAAGAUACCUCACGAACUAAUUUUAUGGAAUAACAUGGAUGUGCAGAUUGCCGGAUAUGUGUUUGGAAUGCGGUUGAUGGCAGUCUGGUGCACUGUUUAACCGGCCAUACCAAGCAGGUAUUGAAAUGGAAUGUAUUGAUUUCAUUCUUUCUUAACAACUGUUAUUUAGACUUACGUGCUAGAUGUACAUCCAUGCAAUCCUCGCAUUGCAAUGAGUGCGGGCUACGAUGGCCGAGUUAUUGUGUGGGAUGUAAGUGUAUUCGCUCAAAAAAAAUGAUCACGAAUUUUGUUUUAGAUCUGGGAGGGCCGUCCAGUAAGGACAUUUGAGACGGGAGAUUAUAAUCUUGUCGAUGGCAACUUUUCACCGUAAGCUUGUUCUCAUAUCCAUAUACUGUUCUCAUGUUUGCCAAUUUUCAGGGAUGGAACCUCAUUGGUUGUUUCCGAUGAGGUCGGCCAGGUCUACCUUUUUUCUACGGGAGCACCAAGUCAAGACGACGAAGAUGCGAAAUACGACCAGGUAUCAGGAAGAUUAGCUUCAGAUCCUUCUCCUAACAGCUUUUUGUUUGUUUGUUUGUUUGUUUGUUUUUCGGGUUCUGUGUAGUUUUUUCUUGGAGAUUAUCGGCCUCUUGUUCGAGAUACUCAUGGAAACGUUCUCGAUCAGGUAAAUAAAAAUGAUGUAAGUGCUUUUAUUUAGUUUUAGUCCUGAGUGUUGUUCUUUUCCGGUAUUGUUCUUGCAAAAACUGAGUAUCUUUCUUUUACAGGAAACUCAGUUGCCUCCUCAUCAAAGGAAUCUUCAAGAUCUCUUGUGCGAUGCAAGUAAGCUGGUGACUUCUCACCUCGUCCAACUUAUUUUUCUGUUUCAUUUUCAGGCUUGAUUCCCUAUCCAGAACCUUAUCAAAGUUCGUACCAGCAACGUCGUCUGGGACUCCUAGGUUGCUACUGGCAACCACCGUCAGUUCAGCUCGCAGUGGGAACGUUUGAUGAUCCAGCGUUCAUUCCUCAAGAUCAGCCUCAAGCAGUAGUUGCCGCUCUACAAGCAAUCGAGCAAACAAACGAGCAAGGCAACAGAUGGGUAGAAAAACCGGCGGAUGGUGAGGCAAUGGACUGGGAUGAAGAAGUCACUGGAUUGAGUGACGAUUCUGGUUCUGAUUACUGCGCGAGCGAAGAAAGCUCGAGUGACGAGGAUGGAAAUGAAGAAAGUGGUACGAUCUGUGAAUCGGAAACAACCGACAAAGAAAUUGACGAAAUCGAUUCUGAUGGGGUUCGUAACCGAAGAACAAGGAAAAAGAAGAGAGAGGUACGUACGUCCAGCUUUUGCGUCUCUGAUAACUUCAAUGGUGAUUGUCCACUACAGAUACUCGCAACCUUGGUGAGGAAGCAAAAGCGCAGGCGCUUGGAGGAGUCAAACAAUGCUCUUUUGAUACCUGAGGAAACGCAGAGGUUGAGGUCUAGAAAGCGGAUAAGAAAGUCAAACCCGGACCAUGCAUUGAGGCCUAUGAGGAUGGCAGCUCGG